rnacentral:rRNA from 1 species
CAAUAGCGUAUAUUAACGUUGUUGCAGUUAAAAAGCUCGUAGUUGGAUUUCUGGAGGGAGCGUCGGCCCGUAUUUACGAGUGCGUGACGUCUCUGUCCAUCCUUGCGGGAAGGCACGGCAUUGAUUUGUUGUGUCGGAUCGCAUCAUUUACUGUGAUAAAAUUAGAGUGUUCAAAGCAGGCUUUCGCUUGAAUACAUUAGCAUGGAAUAAUAAGAUAGGACUUUGGUGCUAUUUUGUUGGUUGAGCCUAAAGUAAUGAUUAAUAGGGAUAGUUGGGGGCACCUGUAUUGCGUUGUCAGAGGUGAAAUUCUUGGAUUUACGCAAGACAAACAGCUGCGAAAGCGUCUGCCAAGGAUGUUUUCAUUAA